CGGAGCCGGCCCGAGGAGGAGGAGGAUCCUAGGACCCAGGACCCAUCUAUCAGAGGUGAUACAAAUGCUGUGAAACGGGGCCAAGCGACUUCUGAAGGGGCAUGACAGGGCACAAAAUAAAUUAACCAGCUCAUAGGAUGACAACCUAGAGUUGACCUUUAAAGACUUAUUGGGAAGACACUAGAUGGUAAGUGGACUGUUACAUUAGGUAAGAAUAGAACUCUGAAAUGCAAACUUGCAUUGUUAUAUCAGUAGAAUGUUGGGUGUUUGCUCAGGUCUUGUAAUGUAUACAAAUAAUCCUUGUCUGUUCUGAUUCCUUCAGAUCUUGAAUCAAAGGUAAUGUUAAUAUUUGUGAUAAAACUUGUUCGAAGGAGUGUUAUUGUUUAUGUGUGUCUCUCAAAUUUACCACAAACUAUAUAUGAACUGUUUAAUGGAUAAAUUUCUUUGUGUUAAUUGCUUGUUAGGAAGAGAGAAGAUUAUGCCUACUAUGGUCUCCCAGGCCAAGUACCCUUUGGACAGGAUGCUUUUUAUCUCAUAUCUGCUUGGAUGCUCAUGGGGAAAGCUGCAAGCCAUAAGAAAGGAGCCUAAGAAAGCUGGUGCCUCUUUAAUGGACACUGACUUAGGGUCUCGGGUCUGCCUGAGGUUUCAUAUGGGGUAGGGGUGGGAAACCUAAGGCCUGGUGGCUGGAUGUGGACUCCAGCUUGCCUGGAUCUGGCCCUGAAGCUCAGGGCUCCCCUUCCAGUAUUGGGGAGCCAGCACUGGUGCUACAACCCUCCUCCUAUCACACACAAAAUCUGCUAACCUGGGUCUCUUUUGGCUCUUACGCAAGUGAAACAUGGGAAAUGUCUCCUUCUCAGUCACUGAGGAUGUUUUUGUGCUUUUUCUUUUUCUGUGCGUCAGUGGUCCCUGACCCAAAAAGGUUCCCCGAUAUAGGGGAAACCAAAACCAUAAGAAUUGUGACCCCAGUAAUAGGCUGAAAUCACCCUGGACAUGGAUUUUGGACUACAACCAUGGACUAAACCUAAAAACUUUUGUGACUACAAGAUCACCAUCUGUUAUGUAACCGAGCCUCGAGAACUAAAAUCAUGUCUGUAUGCAUAUUGAUCUUUUAACCAAUACUUAUUUUGAUUUCUUUAGUAAACCAUAGUUUAAUUAUUAAGAAUUGUCUAUAAGUGUGUAUUUGGGAUAAGGUCUGAAAUAUUAAUUGACCUAGGUAGAAUUUUAUUUGGCUGGGGUGUCUGGAUAGUUGCCUAAAGCUGACUUCUUUAAAGGGAACUGGGUGGUUUGGACUUCUGAUUGACCUGUAAGGUAAUACACAAUCUGUUUUGUGCUGAGUUGGUGAAUAUAAAUAUUGCAACAACCACCAGCUUUGUGGAUUGGCUGUCCCAUUUCCUGCCAUGAACCCUAACUGAGUGAUCUUGGCUGACUACCCUAGACCUUACAGAUCACAAACCCCUCCUUUACCCCUGCCACAGAUUACAGCUCAAAUCCUCUGACCUGUCCUCCCACCCCUGAAAUCAAAAUCCACUCCAGAACACUCUCCAAAGCCUGCAUCCCCUCCUUCGCUCAAAUUCCCUCCCAUACCCCAACACCCCCUCCUAUACUGCAGUCCCCUAUCCUGAACUCCUUUAUGCACCACCUCCAUCCCAGGCCUUGCACCCCAUCCAUAGAUAAGUGUGGCCUUUGACCAUUUAUCAAAAUCUUAGGAGUGGCCAUCCCCAUCAAAAAUUAUUGCUCACCUCUGGGCUAUGAGAGGUUCCAGUCUUCCACCAUUGAUGGUAAUAAGAAACUGAGGGAGUAGAGGGUUGGCAAGGCUCUGUCAAAUUCCAUUGAGUCAUAGCUCCAGGAAGUGCUCAGAGCCACAUGACCGAUACUAUGGGAAAAAUCUUCCAGCUAUCAUACACGUGCGCAUGCACACACCUGAUUGGAAUAGACGUGAACAAGCACCUGAAGAAGAACAGUGUGCUUCUAGCCACAUCAACUGUAAGCGUGCUAAGUAACUGGAGCUAAAGAUGGCAAGUUAACAAUACAAGAGAUAAUGUCUAGGAAUAAGAAACAACUGUAAGUAAAAUAAAUGUUGACAAAUACUAAUUUGUGCUUUUGUUGGUAACAAACAGUAAAACUGGUUCUUGGUUAUGAAAUGUGUCUUUCCAUUUGUGGCCCAAUUGACUCAAAGGUAUAGUAAUACUUUCAGACCAACAGAAAUA